rnacentral:rRNA from 1 species
AACGAACGCUGGCGGCAUGCCUAACACAUGCAAGUCGAACGAGACCUUCGGGUCUAGUGGCGCACGGGUGCGUAACGCGUGGGAACCUGCCCUUAGGUUCGGAAUAACUCCCCGAAAGGGGUGCUAAUGCCGGAUAAUGUCUUCGGACCAAAGAUUUAUCGCCUUUGGAUGGGCCCGCGUUGGAUUAGCUAGUUGGUAGGGUAAAAGCCUACCAAGGCGACGAUCCAUAGCUGGUCUGAGAGGAUGAUCAGCCACACUGGGACUGAGACACGGCCCAGACUCCUACGGGAGGCAGCAGUGGGGAAUAUUGGACAAUGGGCGAAAGCCUGAUCCAGCAAUGCCGCGUGAGUGAUGAAGGCCUUAGGGUUGUAAAGCUCCUUUACCCGGGAUGAUAAUGACAGUACCGGGAGAAUAAGCUCCGGCUAACUCCGUG